ensembl:lncRNA LINC00683 long intergenic non-protein coding RNA 683
GUGAGCUGUGCAGAGUGGGGUCUCCCUGGCAAUGGCCACAGCCUCCAGGGGCGCUGACACCUCCCGUCUAACUGGUAGACAGUUUCUGCCUCUUCUUGUUUGGGGAUUGGAGAGGGAAGUGCGUCUGGAUGACUACUAAGAUGAGGAGGCUGAGGCCUAGUGCUCCUAGCGGGCUUGGUCAAGAGCAGGAGGCGGAGGUGGUGGAAGGCUGUUUCCCUGCGAUCUUCCAGAAUCUCUGCUGUUCACUUUUGGAGAGUCCAGUUAGCCUGUGAAAAUGUCGUCCCUAGGGGUGAGAGGACUCUGGGCGGGUCUCUCCAGUGCCGAGGGAGACACCAGCCUCCGGCUUUCAAUAAAUGUAGCCACAGAUUA